rnacentral:rRNA from 1 species
CCUACGAGAGGCAGCAGUGAGGAAUAUUGGUCAAUGGCCGCAGGGCUGAACCAGCCAAGUCGCGUGAGGGAUGACGGUCCUAUGGAUUGUAAACCUCUUUUGCCGGGGAGCAAGCCUGAGCACGUGUGCCCAGGCGGAGAGUACCCGGAGAAAAAGCAUCGGCUAACUCCGUGCCAGCAGCCGCGGUAAUACGGAGGAUGCGAGCGUUAUCCGGAUUUAUUGGGUUUAAAGGGUGCGUAGGCGGGCUGUUAAGUCAGCGGUAAAAGCCCGGGGCUCAACCCCGGCGCGCCGUUGAAACUGGCCGU